rnacentral:lncRNA from 1 species
GAAGCCAAAUGCUUUUACAAGAGGCAGAAAAAGACAAAAAAAAAAAAAAAACACCAAAAAACAAAAAACCCCACCUGAGUCAAAUUGAUGAAAACCAGUCAAAAUAUCACCUUGUGACUGAUACAGCUAUCCUGGCUGGUCCCAAAACACAAAAGGUGUCUUCAGGCAUGGCUCUGAACACUGAUUGAACUAGAUUUCUGUGUCAACUGCUUGAAAGCUGCAUCUCGCACCACACAUUUCCUGAGCAUCUUAUUGAAAAUUAUUAGACCUGUUUUGUUCAUUACCAGGAAGCUGAAAAAUGGCCUGCAAGAGAGGCGGAAAGGCUUUCUACGGCCUUACAGGCUGACUUUUGAACAAAUGUCCUCAAAGUUCAUGAAUGCAUCAUGGAGGGGCUCAGGCCUUGGGGAAGGUAUCCUUCCUAAUAACUCCAUGGAAAUCGCUGCUGAAAUCCAGUGGCCCCAGAGGAGGGACAGCCUCCUACCUAAGUCUGUUCACGUAAUAAGCACUCAGAGCAUAUGGUUUGCUCUUAACGAGAAAAUGUGUUAAUUCUUGAUUUUUAUUUUAAACAAUAUUUACUGACACAGAGAAAGAAUUUUUUUUCUCUUCAUGUCAAGAAAUCUGAAUUCCCUGUAAUGGAAUCAUGAGAUUAUAGCCUGCGAGGACUGAAAAGGACCUGGCUCAUCAUUGGACUCAGUUUUCUGGAGAGGGUCCUAAGGGAUAUGGAAUGUUUGCGGAUAUAAACACAUCUUCUGCUGCAUGAAGCCCUGAAGUUACUCAAAAUUACCUGAUCGUUUUGUGAGUUUGAUGGCAUCUUCUAAUUUUGGGGACAUCUGUGCUUCAUGACUAAGAACUGAGACUCCCAGUGCCCCCUGGGUCUUGUCAUGGGCUCAUGGGCCGUGUGUCUGGCCUCCACUCAUCUGGUUGCCUCUUUAGCACUUUUACAAUUGCCCUCAGAGAUUGCAGAAAACUGGACUGGACAACUUGGAGCCCAAACACAGUUUCCAAGACCUAAAUCCCUGCCCCCUGUGGUGAUCCUAAGAGAUGCUGUGGAAUGCGAACUCUACCAACAAAGCCAAUCAGCUUUGUUCUGUGAAAGAGUUCUCUAACAACCACGAAUCAUUAGGCAUCAGAAGGAAAGGGCCAAUUUUCCUGCUGUAAAUCCAGCUUUUCAUGAAAAUAGACAUCCUUGAUGUCAUGGGUAGAAUUAAAUGACCUGAAUGCAACUUUUUAACAAAGGAAAUAGUGGCAAAGAGUUUUCACUGUCCUUUUUUUUUCCCUGGAGUAUA